rnacentral:rRNA from 2 species
ACGGGGCGCAGCAGGCGCGAAAACUUUGCAAUGUGCGAAAGCACGACAAGGUUAAUCCGAGUGGUUUCUGCUAAAGAAACCUUUUGUCAGUCCUAGAAACACUGAUGAAUAAGGGGUGGGCAAGUUCUGGUGUCAGCCGCCGCGGUAAAACCAGCACCUCGAGUGGUCAGGAGGUUUAUUGGGCCUAAAGCAUCCGUAGCCGGUUGCAUAAGUUUUCGGUUAAAUCUAUGCGCCCAACGUAUAGGCCGCCGAAAAUACUGUGCAGCUAGGGAGUGGGAGAGGUACACGGUACUCAAUAGGAAGGGGUAAAAUCCUUUGAUCUAUUGAUGACCACCUGUGGCGAAGGCGGUGUACCAGAACACGUUCGACGGUGAGGGAUGAAAGCUGGGGGAGCAAACCGGAUUAGAUACCCGGGUAGUCCCAGCUGUAAACGAUGCAGACUCGGUGAUGCAUUGGCUUGUGGCCAAUGCAGUGCCGCAGGGAAGCCGUUAAGUCUGCCGCCUGGGAAGUACGUACGCAAGUAUGAAACUUAAAGGAAUUGGCGGGGGAGCAC